UCUGUGCAGUGCCUGACCCCUGACUGAGUCCCCAGCCCUGGCUCAGCCCCUCAGCCAGGGUCAAUUCGAGGGGGGGAAUGUGAUCAGUGUGAUCACCCCCCCACCUAUACAGGAAAAGGCAGGGGCUGAGAAAGAACAGCAGCCUAUCUGCCUGACUGCAGCACAGCACACUGCAGCAUGUGCUGUGCUGCCAACAUGAGAGCUUGUGCUGCUGCCCAGUAAGGAGGGAGAGGGGUGGGAGUGCAGUGCACCAGGGCCCCCGGCAGACCCCUCUAUCAGUCCCAGGUCUGGGUAAUUAGUACCUGCUUCACCCCCCCCUCCUCUCGCUGUCACUGACGACAUAGGAUGGAGCCGCUGCUGCUGGAGUAACGGAGCCUGCGAGACACCGGAGGCGGAGAAGAGAGCGGAGAGUCAGCGCCUGAGCCGGGACCUCCUGCAGUAACAGCGGGGAGGACGGCGCACAUCGGGAUCCUGCAGCAGGAGAGAAGAACCCCCUUCGGAGCGUAGCAGACCACACUGAAAAGGGUGCAUCCCCGGUGCGGUGCUCUGCAUCCCGGUUGGCGCUGAAGAUGUGGAGUUUCGGAGGUGGCAGAAGCGCCGCAGCUUGGGGUGAAAAGCAGCUGGCUACUAAGCGACAGAGCAGAAGCACAAACACGAGGCAGUUUAUAGCACAUCUAUGAAACAUUGCCACACAACAGUGGCAGAAAUGAAAAGUGGUGCAAGAAGGAAUUGUCCUUGGGCCCUGCCAUCCAUCUUUAUGUUGGAUAUUAAAAAGGACAUGCACAGUUUAACAAACGAAGUAUUUCAGUGACAGGGACUGACACUUUUGUGGCUGAAGUGCUUGGUUUAUUUGGGCCCCCACAAAACAAGCUAUCAAUGGGCUUAAGGUAGCUAAGCUAACAGCUUUGCAGUGGCAAGACGUCAUCAUCACUACCAUCCUCAUCCUCACCCUCCUCAGUGUUUACUUCAUCCUCACACAAUAUCAAUUCAUCCCCGCUGGAAUUCACCAAUACAGAAGUCUCUGUACUUUAACGUAAUUGCCGGUAAAGGUCUUCCUUGUGGAAUUUGUAGUACAUUUUUCCACAUUUUGGAGAACUAUCCUCCUACGCCAAUUGCUGAUAAGGGUCCCAAUUGUGCUGAAAACUCUUUCUGAGUACACACUGGAGGGUGGGUAGCUCAAGUAAUGCCAAGCCAGUUUGUACAAGGGACUUAAAAUUGCCUUUUUUUUUCUUCCAGUAGUCAUAUGGUCUCUGUAACAUGCUUGUUUGUACACUGUCAUUAAAAUAACCCUCCACCAUUGUUUGGACGGUGACUGUAUUAGAUGGAGUACAGUGCACCAGAACAGUACAAACAAUAGAACAAUAUAUUUGUUUUUCACUUUGUACUCAACUCAAACUGCAACAAUUCAAAGGAAUUAAUUUUCUAUGUACAUGAAUAAUAAACGUACAGGUGUAAAGUGUGCCAGAACAGU